AUUGAACGCUGGCGGCAGGCCUAACACAUGCAAGUCGAGCGAGCGGCGGACGGGCGAGUAAUGUCUGGGAAACUGCCUGACGGAGGGGAUAACUACUGGAAACGGUAGCUAAUACCGCAUACCAUCAGAUGUGCCCAGAUGGGAUUAGCUGGUAGGUGGGGUAACGGCCCACCUAGGCGACGAUCCCUAGCUGGUCUGAGAGGAUGACCAGCCACACUGGAACUAGGAAACGGUCCAGGGUCCUACGGAAGGAAGCAGUAGGAAAUAUUGCACAAUGGGCGCAAGCCUGAUGCAGCCAUGCCGCGUGUGUGAAGAAGGCCUUCGGGUUGUAAAGCACUUUCAGCGGGGAGGCGUUACCCGCAGAGGAAGCACCGGCUAACUCCGUGCCAGCAGCCGCAGUAAUAC
rnacentral:rRNA from 1 species